UGCAUUCACUACUGUAAGUCGCUCUGGAUAAGAGCGUCUGCUAAAUGACUGGAA
rfam:Salmo salar isolate Sally breed double haploid chromosome ssa27, whole genome shotgun sequence.